rnacentral:lncRNA from 1 species
ACAGAUACUCACUGAAGAGUAUCUAAAAGCAUCAUGCUUGCACCUAUUUAUCUGUUUCCCGCUCCCCCCCCCCGUCUCCAUUACCAAAUGAUGUCUUCAACCAAUCUUUGCAUAAACAGAAAAUGAAAGAGACCUAUAAUUUCUGUAUUUUGUCUUUUGAUCCCGACAGCAUUAUUAUUUUAGAAGAGAGGUCUAGAUCAACCACUUUAAAAUGACACCAACAGAAGGGCAGUGAAGAAGGCAUUCUUGGAGGCUGCACAUUUCUGGAAGACAGCAUGACAAUAUGCCUCAAGUGCAAACAGUUUAUCCAUCUAUACAUAAUGAAACUAAAGAAGAUAAAGCUGUUUGUUCCUUGGGACAGUCUAAGAAUAAAUAAAAGACAGAAAAUUUUUCAAAAGGAAGAAAAAGCUCUCCAGCAACUCUGCUCUAGAUUUAAAGGAGAGGAAACAGUGCAGCAGGUCAGAGCACUGCUUGUGGGAUAAGACUCGCAUCUCGUUUGCUGUGUGACCUCAGGCAAGUUUCUUAACCUUUCCGUGCAUUCGUUUCUCAUUUGUAAGAUGGGAGUGACAACAGUACCCUACAUGUGAGAUUGAUGUGAAAAUUACACACCAAUAAAAUAAAAGUUAAUGGAACAAUUCAUGACGCUGAAUAAGUGCAAGGGAAGUGUGAGCUAUUACUAUUAUUAUAUUCAUCAAUACGGAAAACAAUAUUCUAAGGCAUUAAUUUAUGUUACAGAGGCCACAACAGAUUAGUGGUUUAAAUGCAGGUCUAGCUUCAAGGCUGUCUCUCCUAAGGACAGCGUUGCUGGUGGGACUUUGAUUCUGAUGCCCUGAGUUAUUUCCCCAGCUUUCUGGAGCUCCAAUCCCGUGAACUAGGACGUGUUCCUCUCAGGUCUCAGUUUCCUUCUUUGUGCACUCUGACAAUAGGGACCUCUUCCCAAUAUAAUUCCUAUGCUUCUCAUACUUAGGUUAAGAAGCAGAUGAUUUAAAAGUGGGUCAAAAUUAUGGAGAACCAAAAAGGGUUCAGUGGUAUUGUGGACUUUCAAUUUUAAGUAAAAAUUCCUCAUUUCAAAGAUGAAAAUAGAUCAUGGAAACAUUGCCCAACAUUGAGGUCCUGAAAAAUAUUGAUUCAUUUUUUAUUCCUUACAUUUUAUUUUUAUAGGAAUUUAUGUUUCUAGAUUGAUUUGUGUAUUCUUUUUAUGAUUUUAUUUUGAUUGUGUUUUACUUAUGUUGUAAUUAAUGAACAGACAUCUCGAUAUUUAGGAAGAGUCUUCAAAGGAAGCAGAAUUAACUUUUUAAAAUGUUGAACUAACAUGUUUUCCAAGCAGGUAGAAAGUGUAAACCACACUCCAAACUGCAGACCUGUAACUUAAUACACUCCUGGUAAACAUGGCUUCCUUCCUGUCCCUAAGAAAUGAGGCAAGAACAACUUUUGGACGUUAAGUGGCUUAUAAAAGAAAAUAUUGAAUGAGUUGAAUAAAAGAAUGAACAAUGCCAUAUGACUUAAAUUUCCUAAACGUUCUCUAGAUUUUAAAGUAAAAGGCAUUUUGACCUUGGCACAAUGUACCUCAGAGUUGGCUGAACCAAACGUAUUUCAAAGACACUUUGAACUUUCAGUUGAGCUUAAAACGUUUCUUGUUUCCACAAGCCUUAAAACCAUGGCUUAUUUUAUCCAGAAAUGUUGUAUCUUUAUAUUAGAAGAAAAAAAUAAAAAUUUGGAUAUGUGUGAGAAUAAAUAAGAGGUUUUACAUGUAGGUGAUCUGUUAAGAUAUGUUUACAAACUGGGGUAGCUUGUCUUCAAUAUGUCCCCAGUGAACUUGGCCUCCUGUUAGUCACACCGUUGUGUAGUUCCCUCUCUCAGUGCACCACAGAGAGGUCUGUGUCACCAAAAAUAAUGACAGUAUGUGUCUGCUUCAAUGUUUCUCUAUUAGAGAGUGGCUUGUUUCCAGACAAGAGGAACAUGUGUUUCCAGAUCAACCACCUCAAAGUUUCAAGUUCUUUUACAUUUUUUAAACUGGUGAGCACAUAUAUACAAAGCAAUACAAAGAGAAGCCAUAGUGUUUUUUUUAAUAAAUAAAUAAUAUAUCAGUUUGGCAGCCUUAUUUUUGUGUGGACUUUGUGAAGUUUCAAUAUUUUAAAAAUUCACACAUUGGGAGGCCGAGGUGGGAGGAUAGCUUGAGCUCAGGAGGUUGAGACCAGCCUAGGCAAUAUGGUGCGACCCCAUCUCUACAAAAAGUUAAAAAAUUAGCCAGGUGUGGUGGCACACGUCUGUCAUCUCAGCUACUCAGGAGGCUGAGGCAGGAGGAUCACUUGAGCACGGGUCAAGGCUGCAGUGAGCGAUGGUCGUACCACUGCAUUCCAGCCCAGGCAACAGAGUGAGACCCUGUCUCAAAAAACAAAACAAAACAGAAAACAAACAAAAAAAUCUCAAUCCACCUAUAUCUUUUGCUUCUGUUUUACAAAUAUUAGAAAAUACUCUCUCUCAGAAUGGAUGCUCUUUUUUGUAUUUUACAUUUAUGAAACUGGGGAAGAUGUAAAAGAUGUAACUGGCCAGACACAGUGGCUCAAGCCUGUAAUCUCAGCAUUUUGGGAGGCCGAGACAGGCGGAUCACGAGAUCAGGAGUUUGAGACCAGCCUGACCAACAUGGUGAAACCCUAUCUCUACUAAAAAUACAAAAAUUAGCUGGGCGUGCUGGCGGGCGCCUGUAAUCCCAGCUACUCAGGAGGCUGAGGCACGAGAAUCACUUGAACCUGAAAGGCAGAGGUUUCAAUGAGCCGAGAUCAUGCCGCUGUACUCCACCCUCGGUGACAGACUGAGAUUCUGUCUCAAAAAAAAAAAAUAAGUUAGGCUUCUGCCUAUAAAUGUUCCCUAUAUAUGUCCUAUAUCUCCUUAAUCUCCUAAAUCCCCAGUUUGAAACAACCUUUCAAGGAAAUCUUUCAUUGGCCAUAACGUUGCAUAAACAUAAUAUACAAUCCUAAUCUACAGCAUUGGAAUUGGGAUCACAUUCUUGCUAGGCAGUUGAAAAUUUUGAAAUCACUGGAUGGCAGCAGGAAGAAAAAGUAACAGCUUAAGUCAAAUGACUACUUUAUAGAAAUGAAUAUAUUCAUUGUCUUCUUGACUUCAAACACAUGACAUAGUUGUUCUGUACCUUUGAAGUCAGAUUAAACUUUGGCACCAUUUAUAAGGUAGCCACUGGGAAAGUUUACGUGGUCAUGUAGACACAACUGUAAUACUCCAAAUUAUGGGUUUUGCCAGACAAGGUUUCCUCAGAACUAUGCAUACCCCCACCACUUCAAGGAAGGACCGUGAACACUUGCGCCUCUUUAAUUUUGUAUCCAAAGUUUUCUCCGUUUGCCUUUGUUUCCGUUAGCUCUUUGGCAAGCAUCUGUUGUUUUUUGUUUCCUCAUUUGGAAGGACAUUUUGUUGAUGUUAUUCGUUGUUAAUGAAAUUUGUGUUUUUCACUUAUACUAUGGAAAAUUACAUUCACCCAACUUGCUCAUCAUAAAACUUACAUUAAAGAAAAUCUCAUUUAAGAUAGUAAAAGGUUACGUACAUUUUCGGAGACUGGAAGGCAGAAUUUAACACAGAACUAAGUCUCAGUAUUGCAAACAUACUAACUUUUAAGUGGCUGCUUUAUUUGCUUAUUAGGGGAAUAAUUGAAACUCUCUCCUACUCAAUUUUAUUACCCUUUGGGAUACGAGAAGACUUUCCAGCUCCACGUGAUGCCGCAUUUUUAACCCUAAGAAUAUAUUUCCCAGCAGGUGAAAUCUACUCAACUUUACAUAUUCAGGUGCUUUAUUUUCAUCAUCAAGCAAAUAGCUUAUAUCCCAUCAGUAUAAAAUAUGCAUACAAGGUAAUUUAACUAAUAUGUAUUGGCAUCAUUUUUAUAUAAAGGUCCCAUUGUGGAUUUUAAAACCUAUCUUGCUGAAAAUGAUACCCGCCAACCAAAUAAUAAGGAAAUAAUUUAUGUUGCUCUUUAGACAACAUUAUCCUGAAUUACCAAUUUUUGGCCAUCAAGCCGAACUUUAUAAUGUCACUAUUCUUAACAUCUGUUGAACUCUAGGCAGAAAAAUUACUCCUGAAAACACAGUAAAGCUCUAGAAAAGUGGAUAUUGAAUGUCCUUUCACUGGCUAUUUCCCAUCUGACAUGUUGGAAAUAUAUUUUUAAGCUUUGGGUUUUCAUUUUUCAGUUUUAUUCAUGCAAAUGCACAUUUUAAGUAUGUAUUUGCUUUCAUAAAUCAGUCUUUUCCUUUAAUUCAGUGUCACACUUUGUCGCCCAGGCUGGAGUGCAGUGGUACGAUCAUAGCUCACUGCAGCCUUGAACUCCUGGGCUCAAGUUCCUCCCACCUUGGCUUCCCAAAGCACUGGGAUUACAAGUCUGAGUUACUGUGUCCAGCCAGUCUUUUUUUUUUUUUUUUUAACAUCAUUCAAAACACUUCUCUCUGUUGCCUCCUUGACAUCUAGCUUAUUCACAAAUACAAGGAAGGGUGAAUUCGUUUGUCUGUUGACUAUACUCAGUUUCCACAGCUCCAGAGUUGAGAGGAACACAAUAUUAUAGUACUAUUUUGAUCACUGCAUAUCAGACCUAUCUAGUUGAGGGUGCUUUUACACUUUUGUUUUGAGGGUGUCACUGUUCCCUCAAAGACAACUUCAAUUUAUGUCCUUUUAAUCAGAACUAUACUAAUAUUUAUGGCUUUUUUACCAACAAAGCAUUUUUUAGAGAAGCUGUACAGAGAAACUGUACUACAAUUCUUAGACUCUUUUGUGGUGCAUAUCCAACAUGUAAUGGAAUCCCUUGAUCAGUUUUCUGUACAAUAUGA